rnacentral:rRNA from 1 species
UACGAAGGGGGCUAGCGUUGCUCGGAAUCACUGGGCGUAAAGCGCACGUAGGCGGCUUUCUAAGUCAGGGGUGAAAUCCUGGAGCUCAACUCCAGAACUGCCUUUGAUACUGGAAAGCUUGAGUUCGGGAGAGGUGAGUGGAACUGCGAGUGUAGAGGUGAAAUUCGUAGAUAUUCGGAAGAACACCAGUGGCGAAGGCGACACACUGGCCCGUUACUGACGCUGAGGCGCGAAAGCGUGGGGAGCAAACAGG